rnacentral:lncRNA from 1 species
UUUAACAUUAAAAUUUAUAUUAAAAUACAAAAAAAAAAUUCUGUAAAUAAUUAUUUUUUAUUUUUUUGAUUUUAAAAGAUUUAUAUUUUGUCUGCUUAAAAUUUCAGAUUUGUUUUAAGACAGUUACGGCAUUAACCAACUAGGUGAAAUGACAAAACUACCGUUAUUCAUUCUGGAGAGAAAAAAUAAUUUUUAAUAUAUUUUCAGCAUUUUUAAUCACGUAUUCUGUAUAUCUAGUUAUGAAUUAUAAGAAAUAGAUGGAAAAGUGACGGAACGCUGACGGUAGGAACCAAGUGUAUAAACUUGAAAUUUUGAGAACCAAAAAUGAAAAUUUUUGAAAAUUAGUAGAAGAAGGUGAAAAGACGAAUAUUUAUAGAAAAAUAUUCUGUAUUACUCUAAAAUUUAACUAGUGCUUUACGGCCGCAUUAUAGACAAUUAUUGAUUUUUUUUAUUUUACUUGAUGUUACUGUAAUAAGUUUUUCCCCAUAUCUUGUUAUCUUUUUAGGAAAAACUUCAAAAAACCUCCUGUGGUUUCGCACUUUCUCACUUUAGUAUCCUGUGGUUUAAAGUAUAUCAAUUUGCCCUUCUGUGGUUUUAUUUUUAUCUUUUCGGCGGCUUUUUUCUUAAUAUUUUGUUAAAUUAUAUACAAAAAACUUCAGAUACUCAUCUAGAUUUAUCGAAUAUUUAUUUUAGUAUCCUUUAAUUUUAACUUUGUAACUUAUUUAAGAAAAAAUAAUAAUAAAAUUGAUAAUAAAAAGAAAAAAACGAAACCAUAGGGAGACAAAUUGAUACACUUUAACGGUACUAAAAUAAAAAAGUGCGAAACCACCUGGUGAUUUCUGAAGUUAUCCCUUUUUUUUUUUAUAUAUAUAGUCCCUUUACUGUUCUAGAUCACAUUAGUUGAAUUGGGCUCGGGUUUUAAAAGUUACUCGUAAAAAAACUACGUGGAAAUAAUUGCAUAAGGGAAUUAAUUAUUGGCUCCACCUUUUGUAUUUACAUGGUCUAUGCAUAGAAAUUAAAAAAAAAAAAAAAAAUUGACAUUGGUUCCUUAUAAUUAAUUCCCUGUAACACAAUAUAUUUUUACCUUGCCACCUUGUCGUUCAAAAAAUUGCACUCUUUUCUCCUAUAUUAAAUAGCAAAUAUAUUACUACAAAGUUUAACUUUUUAUUUUUAUCUCGGCAAAAGUCCAGUAAUAUUCAUAUUUGCCCCUCUAGUUUGUUACCGUUAGAGUAUUGUUUAUUUAUUUUAACAGAAGAUAAGAAAAAUAACAUUUUUACCCUUACGAAUAUAUCCCUCCAAAAAUUUCCAGAAAUGCCCUCCCAAAAAAUAUUUUAUCCAAUAAUAUAAGAAAAGUAAAAAUAUCAAUUUAACUCAUCCACUAAUCAUGGUUAAAUAUUUUACUCAUGGUUAACGAUAUUUUUUUUAACGGAUCCUAACAGUGGGGAUAUAUUUAAAAACGGUUGGACUUUUUUGCAGGAAUGAAAAUAAAAAAGUUAAACUUUAUAGGAAUAUAUUUGUUAUUCGAUAUGUUUACAGGGAGCUGUAUGCAAUUAGUCCAAAUUUUUAUGUCCAAUGAGGUGGCAAAGUAAAAAAAUUUUGAAAAUAAUUAUAGGACGACAAAAUGAAAAAUGAGCUAAAUCAUAGAGUAGUUAAGUGUAACUUUUUGAACCAUAGGAUGGAAAAAUAAAAAUAAGUUAGGCAAUUUAAAGUUUAUCCUUUUCAAAAUUCAUAAUGUUUCAAAUGUAGGAUCAUACAUAUAAAGGUGCGGUGCAUAGAGUGUACGUGUACACUGGGUACAGGCAAUUGUUUCUCAUAGCACAAAAUGCGCGGUGAUUUGGUUACACAUAAAGCUACUACAAAUAAUUUUAUUGAAACAUUAAAUUAUAGAAAAAAAAAAAUUAGCACUCAAUGGUUUUAAUCAUCUUAUGGACAAAUAAAACUGAAUCAACCUACAGCUAAGGAGCUGUUCAAUGCAGCGUACUCAGUAUCGACAGAAUAAUUAUUGCUUCAUAUUAUCUAACAUAAUAUCAGAAUGAGAGAUUUCAAAUUUGAAUCCCACUGGACCCUUGCCUCAUAAUUUCCACUUAUUUAACUCAACGUAUGUACUUCAAGGCAGAAGCAUUAGAGCAUAUAAAAAAAGAUUCAAGCCCAACCAUACGAAGGAAUGCUGAACAUAAUUAUUAAAAAAAAUAUCAUUAUGUAACAAUUUAAGCUUUUAAUAGAGAUAGCUGGUUGUUUCGCAAUUUUUAACAAGGUAUAUAAUACGUAGCAAAGAUAUAUAAAAUGGGGGCAGUAGUUUCUCGAAUGUUUCUGAGAAAAAGAGAGGAAAUGAAAUUGAAGUUUCAUAGAGAAGACUUAUACAAGUCAAAGUGCAAGAAAUUUGUCCCCCUUCCGUAACUACCAACCAAACUCAAUUAUUGCAUAUAACUACAUCAUAUACACGGCAUUUCUAAAAGUCCUUGGUAGAGAUUUUAACAUUAAAAUUUAUAUUAAAAUACAAAAAAAAAAUUCUGUAAAUAAUUAUUUUUUAUUUUUUUGAUUUUAAAAGAUUUAUAUUUUGUCUGCUUAAAAUUUCAGAUUUGUUUUAAGACAGUUACGGCAUUAACCAACUAGGUGAAAUGACAAAACUACCGUUAUUCAUUCUGGAGAGAAAAAAUAAUUUUUAAUAUAUUUUCAGCAUUUUUAAUCACGUAUUCUGUAUAUCUAGUUAUGAAUUAUAAGAAAUAGAUGGAAAAGUGACGGAACGCUGACGGUAGGAACCAAGUGUAUAAACUUGAAAUUUUGAGAACCAAAAAUGAAAAUUUUUGAAAAUUAGUAGAAGAAGGUGAAAAGACGAAUAUUUAUAGAAAAAUAUUCUGUAUUACUCUAAAAUUUAACUAGUGCUUUACGGCCGCAUUAUAGACAAUUAUUGAUUUUUUUUAUUUUACUUGAUGUUAGUGUAAUAAGUUUUUUCCCAAAUCUU